UAAAAACCAAUCCGUUGUCGUUGGCAAUUAAGCGAACACCCAAUGACAGAGGUUAGGAGAUGAUGAUGGCUUCCUCGUCGUCAUUCUGGCCGUCUGCUUGCCCACCGGUCUCCUCCGCCGCCGCCUCCUCCUCCAUCCUCCCCAUUAAACCCCUCUUGUCUUCUCCCCGAACAAGCUUCAGUUGGAGCUUGCAAAACAGGCAUCUGGAUAAUACUAUUCUUCAGAGAAGUGAUAGGCAGGCGGUCCUGGUUUUUGCAAAUGUAAAUGCACCUCAAAGAAAGGGAAGCUCAAGUAAUGAGGUUAUGAUGGUUGAUCCUUUAGAGGCCAAGCGAUUAGCUGCCAAACAGAUGCAAGAGAUUCAGGCUAAGGAAAAACAUAAAUUUCAAUUCAGAGACGACGUCAAGCUGAAGCUAUUAAUGGAGCAUGGGCAAUGAUUGGUCUAACAGCUGGCUUGGUUGUUGAGGGUCAUACUGGAAAAGGGAUUCUUGAUCAGCUAGCUGGAUAUUUCUCUGCCAUAAUAAGUUUCUUCAUCAGAUAGCAUGCUGCUUCUGAGGAACCAAAUUCAAAUAUAUAUUGUACUGAUUUGUCAGCAAAGCAACAUUGUCAUUUUUUGUUGUCUUUUGGGGAGGGGUGGAGGAACUCUGUAAUACGAUGGAAUGGCUUCGGUGGAACAGCCAAUACUAUCUUGGCAGUACCAAACUUAACAGUUUUGCCUCUAUUUGUUUUUCUUGCCCUUCUGAAUGUAGAGGUUUGAAAUGUAUACAAAUUGAAGGGCAGCAGGUGGUAGAAAAUUGUCUUAUGAACUUGGAAUCAUAAACAUCUUUUCUUUUGAGUUUCUAAUCUCCUAAAAACUAAAA